UGUUUCGGCAAGGGGGUCAUCCCGACUUACCAACCCGAUGCAAACUGCGAAUACCGGAGAAUGUUAUCACGGGAGACACACGGCGGGUGCUAACGUCCGUCGUGAAGAGGGAAACAACCCAGACCGCCAGCUAAGGUCCCAAAGUCAUGGUUAAGUGGGAAACGAUGUGGGAAGGCCCAGACAGCCAGGAUGUUGGCUUAGAAGCAGCCAUCAUUUAAAGAAAGCGUAAUAGCUCACUGGUCGAGUCGGCCUGCGCGGAAGAUGUAACGGGGCUAAACCAUGCACCGAAGCUGCGGCAGCGACGCUUAUGCGUUGUUGGGUAGGGGAGCGUUCUGUAAGCCUGUGAAGGUGUGCUGUGAGGCAUGCUGGAGGUAUCAGAAGUGCGAAUGCUGACAUAAGUAACGAUAAAGCGGGUGAAAAGCCCGCUCGCCGGAAGACCAAGGGUUCCUGUCCAACGUUAAUCGGGGCAGGGUGAGUCGACCCCUAAGGCGAGGCCGAAAGGCGUAGUCGAUGGGAAACAGGUUAAUAUUCCUGUACUUGGUGUUACUGCGAAGGGGGGACGGAGAAGGCUAUGUUGGCCGGGCGACGGUUGUCCCGGUUUAAGCGUGUAGGCUGGUUUUCCAGGCAAAUCCGGAAAAUCAAGGCUGAGGCGUGAUGACGAGGCACUACGGUGCUGAAGCAACAAAUGCCCUGCUUCCAGGAAAAGCCUCUAAGCAUCAGGUAACAUCAAAUCGUACCCCAAACCGACACAGGUGGUCAGGUAGAGAAUACCAAGGCGCUUGAGAGAACUCGGGUGAAGGAACUAGGCAAAAUGGUGCCGUAACUUCGGGAGAAGGCACGCUGAUAUGUAGGUGAAGCGACUUGCUCGUGGAGCUGAAAUCAGUCGAAGAUACCAGCUGGCUGCAACUGUUUAUUAAAAACACAGCACUGUGCAAACACGAAAGUGGACGUAUACGGUGUGACGCCUGCCCGGUGCCGGAAGGUUAAUUGAUGGGGUUAGCGCAAGCGAAGCUCUUGAUCGAAGCCCCGGUAAACGGCGGCCGUAACUAUAACGGUCCUAAGGUAGCGAAAUUCCUUGUCGGGUAAGUUCCGACCUGCACGAAUGGCGUAAUGAUGGCCAGGCUGUCUCCACCCGAGACUCAGUGAAAUUGAACUCGCUGUGAAGAUGCAGUGUACCCGCGGCAAGACGGAAAGACCCCGUGAACCUUUACUAUAGCUUGACACUGAACAUUGAGCCUUGAUGUGUAGGAUAGGUGGGAGGCUUUGAAGUGUGGACGCCAGUCUGCAUGGAGCCGACCUUGAAAUACCACCCUUUAAUGUUUGAUGUUCUAACGUUGACCCGU
rnacentral:rRNA from 1 species